rnacentral:rRNA from 1 species
AGUGAACGCUGGCGGUAGGCCUAACACAUGCAAGUCGAACGUCAGCACAGUAAGAGCUUGCUCUUACGGGUGGCGAGUGGCGGACGGGUGAGGAAUACAUCGGAAUCUACUUUUUCGUGGGGGAUAACGUAGGGAAACUUACGCUAAUACCGCAUACGACCUACGGGUGAAAGCAGGGGAUCUUCGGACCUUGCGCGAUUGAAUGAGCCGAUGUCGGAUUAGCUAGUUGGCGGGGUAAAGGCCCACCAAGGCGACGAUCCGUAGCUGGUCUGAGAGGAUGAUCAGCCACACUGGAACUGAGACACGGUCCAGACUCCUACGGGAGGCAGCAGUGGGGAAUAUUGGACAAUGGGCGCAAGCCUGAUCCAGCCAUACCGCGUAGGUGAAGAAGGCCUUCGGGUUGUAAAGCCCUUUUGUUGGGAAAGAAAAGCAGCAGGUUAAUACCCCGCUGUUCUGACGGUACCCAAAGAAUAAGCACCGGCUAACUUCGUG